CAGAAAAUUGGACCAAUUCUAGAUACC
rnacentral:piRNA from 1 species